UCCGUAGGUGGUUAGAUAAGCUAGCUGUGAAAUACCCGGGCUUAACCUGGGGAGGUCAGCUAGGACCGUUUGACUAGAGUAGUGUAGAGGGUAGUGGAAUUUCCGGUGUAGCGGUGAAAUGCGUAGAGAUCGGAAGGAACACCAGUGGCGAAGGCGGCUACCUGGGCACAUACUGACACUGAGGGACGAAAGCGUGGGGAGCAAACA
rnacentral:rRNA from 1 species